UACAGAGGUCUCAAGCGUUGUUCGGAUUCAUUGGGCGUAAAGGGUGCGUAGGCGGCGCGGUAAGUCGGGUGUGAAAUCUCGGAGCUUAACUCCGAAACUGCAUUCGAUACUGCCGUGCUUGAGGACUGGAGAGGAGACUGGAAUUUACGGUGUAGCGGUGAAAAUGCGUAGAUAUUCGGAAGAACACCAGUGGCGAAGGCGACUCACUGGCCCGAUACUGACGCUGAGGCGCGAAAGCGUGGGGAGCAAACAGG
rnacentral:rRNA from 1 species